AGGGCCUUUUAGCUAUAGAGAAAACUCCACCUAUCAUUGUGUGAAGUUUAAUCUCUGUGACUGUCAGAUGAACUACUUUGAUGUUUUCUGAUAUCUGUUUUUUGUUGUUCAACAGCACUCAAAUUCAGUUUGGGUAACAUGGUGGAUCUCAUCUGUGGCUCUUUCAUGAGGAGAUGUGUUCUGGUAUUUCUAGAGAUGACGACGUAGUCUCCCUAUGUCAUCAUAAAGCUAGUUAUUCCACUGCAGGAGAGAAGUGAGUGUGAGGGAAUUGAGGGAAAUAACUCUUCUACUUUGCUUCAAGUUCUGCAAAACUUUUUCAUGUCUAGACCAAAAAAAAAAAAAAAAAAAAAAAGAUAUGGAUUUGAGAAUACUUCAGCGAUGUUUUGCUCUGAGCUUGCAAGAGAGAGGCACGUUUUGUUAAUUGGAAAUAUAACAUUAGGAUUUUGUUCUGAACUGAAACCCUGAUUGCGGGAGACAAACAUAUAAUGCAGAAGAUAGGAAGACUUUGCUGUUCAGGUGCGAUACUACUCUAUGAUCAAUUUUACAGAUGUGAUGAAGUACCGAGGAUCAAGGAGGCAAUUGCAAAUUGCACAGAAGCCUAAACUAUGGUUUGGAGGAAUUCUUGGAGGGUGAGUGUGCAGUCCUGCCUACUACAUCAUCUUCCACUUGUCUCUGAAAUGUGGAUUACAAGUAGAUGAUUUGGGUGCUUGCAGAUGCUGGAAGGAUUGUAAAGCAAUAAAUUAUUCCUCCAAGCUCUACUCUGAAACAAGAGCACCAAGGAAUUACCAUCCUGACCCUAUGCCUCCACCCCAGCACAGGCAGGGCCUAGGGUGUGGUGGAGAUGCCCACUUACCUGUGUAGAAGAAGGUUCUCUGAAAUGCUCCUUAAUUUGAAAGAUGGCGUCUCCUGGGAGGGGGGAGGGAAGUAAAAAAUAAAAAUAAUAAUAAUAAAAAAAAGAUGAUAUGCAACAGGAGUUAUUCUGUUUUUGAUUAAUGGUUAUUAUUUUAAGGAUUCACAUAGUCAUGGAGUUGAUGAUUAGCAACCAUGUAAUUCCCUUAGAAUUGCCUUUGCUAGGUGUUGAUAACAGGGACCAAGGGAUGUUACCCUGACUGAGGCUUGUACAUGCACCUUGCUUGCUUGCUUCUGCUUUUGUAACCUACUUUAAAACAGCAUAAAAGCUGUUGUGUGUAGGAACUGAUUAGUAUUCUAAAAUAACUUAAGAGCCCUCUGUUGGGCCUCCACAUGUUGUGUGUAAAUCAUGAGUAACAGCACCAAAGAAGACAUACAUUAAGCCAUGUGUGUUAGCGUAUAGUUAGGAAGUGUAGUUACAUGGAACUUACUCUGCUAAUGUAUUUUUAAUACUGAGUCAGCAGUAGAGAUAAAGCAAGAGCCAUUCCCCCUUGGUAAGGAACCCUGUUUCAUUACGUGUUUGGUCAAUACAAGAACAGUCAACAGUGUGCUGUACAUUACGACGGGGAUUCAGAGUAUUAUUUCAGAACAAUGCUAAUAAUGCCAGGAAGUGAUUGUCAAUAUUGUGAUGGUGUCACGUAUGUGAAGUUUCACAAGCAAGUCUUCCCAUAGUGGUUGGCAUCAGACCACCAUUCUGCAAACAGUCAUCACACUACACUGCAUUUCCAAAAUAAGACAAAGUCUUCACCUUUUGCUGCGAAAUACAGUCACACAAAACUAUUCACCAUUUAUCACAUACGGCUUGUCAACCCAAACCCAGCACUCUUCAACUGUCCACAAACUGACAGCAAGAAAUAUUGUUCUGUCAUAUUUUAUUCUCCAUAUAGAUUCUAGAAACAGCCCUAUUUCAGAUCCAUUGUUCAGCUACAACCCAGACAGCCCAAGCUACUCUUCCCACCCUUCAAAGUAGAUAGUGGCUGUAAAACCACACAGCAGCUCCCUGAUUCACCUCCUGAUAUAGCCCAAAUACCACACUGUAAGAACUUUUAUGGUACAUGAGCAUUUUAUG